rnacentral:rRNA from 1 species
CCUACGGGAGGCAGCAGUGAGGAAUAUUGGUCAAUGGGCGCAAGCCUGAACCAGCCAAGUCGCGUGAGGGAUGACGGUCCUAUGGAUUGUAAACCUCUUUUGUCGGGGAGCAAGGCCUGCCACGUGUGGCGGGAAGGAGAGUACCCGAAGAAAAAGCAUCGGCUAACUCCGUGCCAGCCGCCGCGGUAAUAAGGAGGAUGCGAGCGUUAUCCGGAUUUAUUGGGUUUAAAGGGUGCGUAGGCGGAAGGUUAAGUCAGCGGGCAAAUGUCGGUGCUCAACUCCGGCCUGCCGUUGAAACUGGUCAUCUUGAGUGAGCGAGAAGUAUGCGGAAUGCGUGGUGUAGCGAUGAAAUGCAUAGAUAUCACGCAGAACUCCGAUUGCGAAGGCAGCAUACCGGCGCUCAACUGACGCUGAGGCACGAAAGCGUGGGGAUCGAACAGGAGUAGAUACCCUAGUAGUC